rnacentral:rRNA from 1 species
GACGAACGCUGGCGGCGUGCUUAACACAUGCAAGUCGAACGGGCCUGUCUUCUUUUUUGGGGGGUGGGUUGAGUGGCGAACGGGUGAGUAUCACGUGAGUAACCUGCCCUUCGGUCCUGGAUAACCGCUUGAAAGGGCGGCUAAUACGGGGUGGUCCGGUUGGUCCGCAUGGGCUGGUCGGGAUAGAUUCACUGUUUUUGGUGUUUCGGCGGGGGAUGGGCUCGCGGCCUAUCAGCUUGUUGGUGGGGUGCUGGCCUACCAAGGCGGUGACGGGUAGCCGGCCUGGGAGGGGGGGCGGCCAGACUGGAGCGGCGAUACGGCCCAGACUCCUGCGGGAGGCAGCAGUGGGGGGUAUUGCACGAUGGGCGGAAGCCUGAUGCAGCGACGUCGCGUGAGGGAUGGAGGCCUUCGGGUUGUGAACCUCUGUUUCCGGUGGUGAAGGCCCUGUCCGUGUGGUGGGGUUGACGGUAGCCGGGGAUGAAGCGCCGGCUAACUACGUG